rnacentral:rRNA from 1 species
GAAUCUGCCUAUUAGUGGGGGACAACAUUCCGAAAGGAAUGCUAAUACCGCAUACGCCCUACGGGGGAAAGCAGGGGAUCUUCGGACCUUGCGCUANUAGAUGAGCCUAAGUCAGAUUAGCUAGUUGGUGGGGUAAAGGCCUACCAAGGCGACGAUCUGUAGCGGGUCUGAGAGGAUGAUCCGCCACACUGGGACUGAGACACGGCCCAGACUCCUACGGGAGGCAGCAGUGGGGAAUAUUGGACAAUGGGCGAAAGCCUGAUCCAGCCAUGCCGCGUGUGUGAAGAAGGCCUUUUGGUUGUAAAGCACUUUAAGCGAGGAGGAGGCUACUUGGAUUAAUACUCUAGGAUAGUGGACGUUACUCGCAGAAUAAGCACCGGCUAACUCUGUGCCAGCAGCCGCGGUAAUACANAGGGUGCGAGCGUUAAUCGGAUUUACUGGGCGUAAAGCGUGCGUAGGCGGCUUUUUAAGUCGGAUGUGAAAUCCCUGAGCUUAACUUAGGAAUUGCAUUCGAUACUGGGAAGCUAGAGUAUGGGAGAGGAUGGNAGAAUUCCAGGUGUAGCGGUGAAAUG